GAUGAAGAACGUAGCGAAAUGCGAUAAGUAGUGUGAAUUGCAGAAUUCAGUGAAUCAUCGAAUCUUUGAACGCACAUUGCGCCCCUUGGUGUUCCAUGGGGCAUGCCUGUUCGAGCGUCAUUUGUACCUUCAAGCUCUGCUUGGUGUUGGGUGUUUGUCUCGCCUCUGCGUGUAGACUCGCCUUAAAACAAUUGGCAGCCGGCGUAUUGAUUUCGGAGCGCAGUACAUCUCGCGCUUUGCACUCAUAACGACGACGUCCAAAAGUACAUUUUUACACUCUUGACCUCGGAUCAGGUAGGGAUACCCGCUGAACUUAAGCAUAUCAAUAAGCGGAGGA
rnacentral:misc_RNA from 1 species